GAUUUUUUUGAACUUGUAAAUAAAGAUAGCAUCAUUUAAUUAAAUUUUACAAACAAAUACUAUUUUGUCUUUUUAUUUCAAAAUGUCACGUUUAAUUCAAUAAGCUACUUGAGGUUUCGUUUUGAUUAAUUGUGCUUAAAUACAUAGGUAAAUUCAAAUGGAACUGCCUAAGUAAUAGGUACUUAGUGUUUUGUCAUUUAAUGAAUUAAUGCAAAAAAAUAACAAAACCAAGUAAAACGUACUCAAAGAAGCCAGGCAAUCUAUGCGCAUGCGUUCCUGGUUGCGGUGUGGCGCAGAGGCAGAGGAGUGCAACGGAAAAUCGUCUUGAAGACUGAUGUGAUUAUUACACGAUUACACUCACCAUUCAAGUUCAUGCAAGAUGUGUACCCCAGCAAAGCUGCGAAUUGUUUUUGAAGAGAAUGACAUUCACAAAUUGAUUCUGCCCUCAGGCAUCCCCAGUACUCUUCAGGACCUAAAAUGUGUAAUCAAAGAAACAUUUAAUAUCCCAGACUGCUUUACUUUGAUGUAUGAAGACAUGGAUUUUGGGGGUCAGUUUUUUACCUUGAGCUCAGUCGAUGAUGUACGGGAUAAAUGUACUUUAAGAGUGGUGCAAUCUGAACCCAUCACCCUGAAUGUGAGUGCUUUGGAAGAACCAAUCCUACAAAAUGAGUCUGAUGCCAUAUCAUGCAGUUCUCAGGACACCGUUGCAUAUUGUCCUUCUGAAAAUGAGACCUCAUUCCUUUCUUUAGACUCCAGAUCCAACAGUUCCCAAGACACUGUUCUGCUGUCUUCGCCUGAGAGCUCCACACCAUGCCAUUCUCAAUGAUGGCCAGCAAAGUUUAAAAUACCAACUUUUUCAUUUGAUACAGAGCUCUUGCUUUCAGAAGAAAACAAAGCCUAACAAAAGGACGGCACCCUUUUGAACAACCCACGAGUAACAAGAAGUGUCCUCGAGACAGUAGCAGAGACAAUAUUUCGUUUCACUGCGUACCCAACAGGUGUCCAGAUUAUGAACUUAGUGGAGAUGUUGAUUGAAAAGUACCCAUGUCUCAAAGAGCCAGGGUCCUUCAAUGGACAGUAUGGGUGGCAACAGAGGAUUAAAUAUAAGAUGGGCAAUUAUCGUGCAAAAUUAAGAGGCAGUCAGCUUUCCUGCCCGGAGCUGGAGGUCAACUCUUUGAAAAGAAAGAAGACAAAUGAAAAGUCUUGCCUCAAAGGCACAAAACGACCCAGGAAGGCUGAAGUAAACUACUUGCCCCCAUUUCCAUUUGGGGAAACAGGAAACUCUAGAGAAGGACAUAGUUGAUCUUCUUAAAGAAAUUCAGAAGAAAAACAACAAAAGGUUCAUUGGUGAGAAAAUGGAGAAGACUUUCUCCUAUCGAAGAUUAGAAAUCAUUAAUCACUGCCCUGCUGUCAAAGAUUUCAAGGAGAGAUGGCCAGCUCUUUUUUGUGAAUCUGAGAUUAAGAAUGAGUUCAGAAGGAUAACCACAGUUCCCCUGGAGCCAACCUUUCUGCAAACACUGGACCUCUACACUCCAAAGCUCCUGGGUUUGUUUAAAAUGAAGGGUGGGGAUGCAGGCAUAAAAAUAAGAAGUGUGCUAGAUUCUCUCUGCCAGCGAGUAGAAGAUAAGAGAGAUGCUGUGAUUCUGUGCCUGCUUUCCUACCUGGGAGAAUCAUCUGAGGAGCUCAUUGAAUUCAAAUUUCGUUUUUUUUUUUUUACUUCUUAUGUGUACAGUACUGCAAAAGUCUUUUCAUCCUAAUUUACAUUCCUAAACAUUCAUUUUGCCAUUAUUUGUAAUAUUCAAGUGAGAUUUUUGUAUGCACAGGGAGUCAUACAGUUGGUGCUCCACAGAAGUUCUGAUCUCACAUUUCAUUGAGUUUGUCUAUUAUAACACAAAGAAAGAGACAAAAUUGUGACAGCUUAAAUCAAGAAAAACUGUGGCAAUAUAUCCAAAAUGUUAAAAAAAAAAAAAAAAAAAGUACAUGCAAAGUUACCUUAAGAACUAUAUCAAGUGUACCUAGGCCAAAAACUGUAAAGGUUAGUUCACCAAAAAAAGAAAUUUGUGUCAUUUAUUACUCACCCUCAUGCCUCAUUUCAAACCCGUAAGAUCUUUUGUUCAUCUUCAGAACACAAAUUAAGACAUUUUUGGUGAGUAUUCUCGUCGCUUCACAACAUUAAGGUUGAACCAUUGUAGUCACAUUCUCUAUUUUAACAAUGUUUUUACUACCUUUCUGGACCUCAAAAGGUGCAAUGGCAUUGAGCCUAUGUGUUGAUCAGAAGCCCUUUGAUUCACCAAAAAUAUCUUAAUUUGUGUUCUGGAGAUGAACGAUGGAUUUACGGGUGUGGAACAACAUGAAGGGGAGUAAUUAAUGACAGAAAUUUUAUUUUUGGGUGAACUAACCCUUUAAGUGCAAAGGGUGAUCACACCAAAUAUUGAUUAAGUCAAUAGAAGGUAAAUGAAAAUUAAUUCAUGAAAACAUGAAGGCAUCCCCACUUUACAGAAUAUUUACACAAGUGCCUAAAACGUUUUACAGUACUGAAGCUUUGCAAGUAGUUUGUGUUUUGCAGACAGUUCCUAAUUUUUUCAUCCUUCAUUUAAUAACAGAUUUAACCUCUGUGUGGGGCACUUAUCACACAAAAAUAAAGAGAACAUACAACUUACUGUACAAUAUUGUAACCACUUUUUCACUCAUUUGUGUAUUUGACAGGAUGUCAGAAGAGACAUGAUUGAAGAUAGCUUCACCAAUCAUCUAAUGAAGAUCGUUGUACUGGGCAGCACCGCAGGAGAGGAAGAUGCCAACAUAGCUGAUGUCGUCAUCAUCAUUGAGGGAACUGCGGUACUGUCGGGAUGCAAGACUCUUACAAAUGCCUGCCUUCUGCUCAUGGGCUUCAUUUACUCCCUGAACUUGAGCUAUCCUUCAAAGCUAAGAAACACAUUUGAAGUUUUUCAGAAAUUUUUUCUUGGACUGGAUGCUUUGAAAUUUUCUCCAAAGGUUAGCUCUUUGCAGAGAAAGCUAUUGAUGUAAGUCUGCUAGCUGGCCAUUUUGUUUGGCAUUGAGUGUAUUUGCGUUUGUAUACUUUUUGUAUUUGCUAAUUUUUUUUUUAAGUGAGAAUGUCCGCAAAAGAUUU